rnacentral:rRNA from 1 species
UACGAAGGGGGCUAGCGUUGCUCGGAAUCACUGGGCGUAAAGCGCACGUAGGCGGAUUGCUAAGUCAGGGGUGAAAUCCCGGGGGCUCAACCUCGGAACUGCCUUUGAUACUGCAAGUCUCGAGUCCGAUAGAGGUGGGUGGAAUUCCUAGUGUAGAGGUGAAAUUCGUAGAUAUUAGGAAGAACACCGGUGGCGAAGGCGGCCCACUGGAUCGGUACUGACGUGAGGUGCGAAAGCGUGGGGGAGCAAACAGG